rnacentral:snRNA from 1 species
AUCUAGGGUCUCCUCAUUUAUGCAUAAAUCUUUCACCUUUUACUAAAGAUUUCUGUGAUGAGGUACAAUACAAUUACUUUUAUCUCAUUUUUCCCAGCUCUGUCUUCAGCCAGUGCG